CCGUUGUUCUGCAGGGCAGCUCCCAUGAAGCUGCUGAGCACCGCGAGCAGCGUCAGAUGUGUUGGUGUGGAGGAAAUACAGAAGUAGAGAGCACAGAAGCUGAGCACCAUGAAUAAUGAAGCUGAUAUCAGGAAGAAACUUGAGGUGUAGAAGACAUAGCGGAAAUCACUGGUUAUAUCCACCAGGAGACCUGAAAUGGAAACCACAGCUUAAUUAAAAAGAGGAUACAUGGUUUUCUCACCUGUCAGAGGGGGUCCGAUGAGAAGAGUGAUGCUCUCCAGGAUGGUGAAGAGCCCUAGAGCGCUCGAGAACCUGUCC